rnacentral:rRNA from 1 species
UUCUGGGAAGAUUCAUCGGUAUGGGAUGGGGUCGCGUCCUAUCAGCUUGAUGGCGGGGUAACGGCCCACCAUGGCUUCGACGGGUAGCCGGCCUGAGAGGGCGACCGGCCACAUUGGGACUGAGAUACGGCCCAGACUCCUACGGGAGGCAGCAGUGGGGAAUAUUGCACAAUGGGCGCAAGCCUGAUGCAGCGACGCCGCGUGCGGGAUGACGGCCUUCGGGUUGUAAACCGCUUUUGACUGGGAGCAAGCCCUUCGGGGUGAGUGUACCUUUCGAAUAAGCACCGGCUAACUACGUGCCAGCAGCCGCGGUAAUACGUAGGGUGCAAGCGUUAUCCGGAAUUAUUGGGCGUAAAGGGCUCGUAGGCGGUUCGUCGCGUCCGGUGUGAAAGUCCAUCGCUUAACGGUGGAUCCGCGCCGGGUACGGGCGGGCUUGAGUGCGGUAGGGGAGACUGGAAUUCCCGGUGUAACGGUGG